rnacentral:rRNA from 1 species
AGGACAAACGCUGGCGGGGUGCAUGAGACAUGCAAGUCGAACGAGGCACUGUUGAGCUUGCUCGACGGUGUCCUAGUGGCGGACGGCUGAGUAACGCGUAGGUGACCUACCCGGAAGUGGGGAAUAACUGCCCGAAAGGGUGGCUAAUACCGCAUGUGGUCGACGAUUCGAUUCGUCGUCCAAAGGAGCAAUUCGCUUCCGGAGGGGCCUGCGUCCGAUUAGCUAGUUGGUGGGGUAACGGCUUACCAAGGCGACGAUCGGUAGCUGGUCUGAGAGGAUGAUCAGCCAGACUGGGACUGAGACACGGCCCAGACUCCUACGGGAGGCAGCAGUCGGGAAUUUUGCCCAAUGAGCGAAAGCUUGAGGCAGCAACUCCGCGUGAGGGAUGAAGGCUCUAGGGUCGUAAACCUCUUUUCUCAGGGAAGAUACAAGACGGUACCUGAGGAAUAAGCGACGGCUAACUACGUGCCAGCAGCCGC